AGGCUUCCCUGGAGAUGUCGUGACACUGGCUUCCUCCAGAGCUGCAGACCCUGAGCAAUGAGGAUAUCGGCGUUACUGCGUGACAGUGGGACAUGGAUACAGGAGCGACCUCAGUGAUGACCGCGUGGCUGAAAGGCAAGGUAGGGAGACCAGUGUCUAUUCUGCAAGGUGGCCCUGUCCUAGGGGUGUUUUCCUUGGAAAAGACGCCAGAUUGGUUCCCAGAACGUGAUACUGCGAGGAGUCCACCCUCUUCCUGCACAAGAGCUGCCGGUUCCUUCCCGGACGUGUCUCGGUGAUCGCUUUAAUGGGGAGUGUGAUUUCCACGGUGGUGGGGUGUCCCCAAGCUGGGAGUCGCCUUCGUUUCGGUAAGCUGUCCCUGCCGCUGCCUGCUGGUGGUGUUGGGCUGCGCUCCAAUAAUCUGCCCCGGUUCGCAAUUUCUUAACACAGCUAUUUUGUUUAUGAUAAGAAUUCUGUAUUUACGUUACUUACAUGUAGGUAUAUAUUAAUUUAAUGCCUAUUUACAGUAAGAAUUUCAUUUUAAUUUACAAGAUUAUACUCCAGCAAUCUUUUUCCAGUUCAGGGUUUCUCAACAUACAUAACGCUUUUUUUCUCUUGUCAAGAUAAAUUCGAUCAUUUGUACGUUCCGCGACUCCGCGUUGUUUUUUAACCUUGUCGCUUCUUUAUAAACUCUCUAGAUUUAAUAAAAUGGAAGUAUCACAUACGAGGAAAACGCA
rnacentral:lncRNA from 1 species